rnacentral:rRNA from 1 species
AUUGAACGCUGGCGGCAGGCUUAACACAUGCAAGUCGAGCGGAGAGAGGUAGCUUGCUACUGAUCUUAGCGGCGGACGGGUGAGUAAUGCUUAGGAAUCUGCCUAUUAGUGGGGGACAACAUUUCGAAAGAAGUGCUAAUACCGCAUACGUCCUGAGGGAGAAAGCGGGGGAUCUUCGGACCUCGCGCGAUUGGAGUGGCCGAUGUCAGAUUAGCUAGUUGGUGGGGUAAAGGCCUACCAAGGCAACGAUCUGUAGCUGGUCUGAGAGGAUGAUCAGCCACACUGGGACUGAGACACGGCCCAGACUCCUACGGGAGGCAGCAGUGGGGAAUUUUGGACAAUGGGGGCAACCCUGAUCCAGCCAUUCCGCGUGAGUGAAGAAGGCCUUCGGGUUGUAAAGCUCUUUCGGCAGGAACGAAACGGCGAGCUCUAACAUAGCUUGCUAAUGACGGUACCUGAAGAAGAAGCACCGGCUAACUACGUGCCAGCCGCCGCCGUAA